UUAGGUUUUGAGUUGGAAUAAUGUGUAUGUGUAAGGGAUGUGCAUCUGCGGGUGCACCUUUUAAUAAGACAUUCAUAAAUGAUAACACACAAA
rnacentral:misc_RNA from 1 species